CCCACCCACCCACACACCUCCACACUAUCUGAAGUAGCAAUCAGGUUGAAGAGGGCAAACACAGACAUCAGCUUGAUUGAGUUAUCCAUUCCUAAAGCACCUGUCCUCUCCCAGAAUGCUUUCCUUUCGUCCCCUGGAUCUGUGCAUCUUGCAUACAAACUCAGCAGCUGUGUGCAGUGAAUAAGUAGACCAAAAGGAAUAGAAAACCAAAAGUUUGCUGACAGACAAUUUACGUGGCUGAUGGUUUUAGACCGGUUUGGAAAGAGACAGAAACACAAAGGCUAAUCAUUUUCACUACAUAAAUGUUUUGCAAUGCCAUGGCAGCUGAGGAUACUUGAUAAAUAAUGUUAUUAUUUUCCAUUACCACUGAACCAUGAGAAAAUACCUGCUUUGUGCAAGAUAAUGUGAAAAUGAUGAUGAAUCAACUUUCAAUUGCUGCUUUUGAAAAUAACUCAAGGUCCAAUCAUUGCUGUCUCAAAAGGAAAUAUUUCGAGUGCUUACAGGUCUACGUGCAAGAGCAAACUCCUAUUCCUCACAAACUAUGCACAAGCAGUGUAAUUAAAUUUGGAAACGAGACGUAGA